rnacentral:miRNA from 1 species
AGGGCUGACCCAGUGGCGCAGUG